rfam:Human T-cell lymphotropic virus type 2, complete genome.
GCCUCCAGGCCUUAAAUGACCUGGUCUCCAAGGCCCUGGAGGC